ensembl:snRNA U6 U6 spliceosomal RNA
GUACUCACUUCAACAGCACAUGCACUAAAACUGGAACCACACAGAGAUUAGCAUGGUCCCUACAAGGAUGACACAUACAUUCAUGAAGUGUUCCACAAUUAA